rnacentral:rRNA from 1 species
CCUACGGGUGGCUGCAGUGGGGAAUAUUGGACAAUGGGGGGAACCCUGAUCCAGCCAUGCCGCGUGUGUGAAGAAGGCCCUCGGGUUGUAAAGCACUUUCAGUGAGGAAGAACGCCUGGUGGUUAAUACCCAUCAGGAAAGACAUCACUCACAGAAGAAGCACCGGCGUAACUCCGUGCCAGCAGCCGCGGUAAUACGGAGGGUGCGAGCGUUAAUCGGAAUUACUGGGCGUAAAGCGCGCGUAGGUGGCUUGAUAAGCCGGUUGUGAAAGCCCCGGGCUCAACCUGGGAACGGCAUCCGGAACUGUCAAGCUAGAGUGCAGGAGAGGAAGGUAGAAUUCCCGGUGUAGCGGUGAAAUGCGUAGAGAUCGGGAGGAAUACCAGUGGCGAAGGCGGCCUUCUGGACUGACACUGACACUGAGGUGCGAAAGCGUGGGUAGCAAACAGGAUUAGAUACCCUUGUAGUC